UACAGAGGUGGCAAGCGUUGUUCGGAAUUACUGGGCGUAAAGGGCGCGUAGGCGGCUUGGUCAGUCCCGUGUGAAAUCCCUCGGCUCAACUGAGGAACUGCACGGGAAACUGCCUGGCUUGAGUUCGGGAGAGGGAAGCGGAAUUCCGGGUGUAGCGGUGAAAUGCGUAGAUAUUGGGAAGAACACCGGUGGCGAAGGCGGCGACCUGGUCUGAUACUGACGCUGAGGCGCGACAGCGUGGGGAGCAAACAGG
rnacentral:rRNA from 1 species